GCACAUUUACUCAUUAAGACAUCGUGGCUCUGAAUCAACAGGCACUGCAGGACUGAAAAUCUGCUCAACACCACAAGAAGAGAGGAGUAAGUUUGAGCUGAGUCGAGCUCAACCCUGCCAGGUCAUCUAUGCAGUUCCCAUGAGGACCCUCGCACGUACUCACUCGUAAUGACCUCAUGGAUUGUACUUCAACAGGCAUUGGACUGAAAAAACUGCUCAACACCAAGACAUGAGAAUAGUUAAAACGGCAUGCAGAUGAAAAGAAAAGCCCAGGAGACAGUGAAGCUGGUUCCAGAAAGCGCAAACUCGAGAAUAGAAACGACAAGCUUGCUUCGAACAUGGAAGAAAAUCAACGAGGACAGAGUGGACUUGGAGCAGACAAGCAGGAGGGUCAUGACGCCAAAGUCGAUGGAACUGGAACAGGACAGGGUCACAGGAAACAUAAAGCUGUGGUAACUGGAGAUGGAGUUAAAAUUGAUUUGGAGACUGUUAAUAGAGACUUUCUUGA